rnacentral:rRNA from 1 species
GACGAACGCUGGCGGCGUGCUUAACACAUGCAAGUCGAGCGGUAAGGCCCUUUCGGGGGUACACGAGCGGCGAACGGGUGAGUAACACGUGGGUGACCUGCCCUUAGCUCUGGGAUAAGCCUGGGAAACUGGGUCUAAUACCGGAUAUGACCUCAUGACUCAUGUUGUGGGGUGGAAAGCCUUGUGCGGCUAGGGAUGGGCCCGCGGUCUAUCAGCUUGUUGGUGGGGUAAUUGCCUACCAAGGCGACGACGGGUAGCCGGCCUGAGAGGGCGACCGGCCACACUGGGACUGAGACACGGCCCAGACUCCUACGGGAGGCAGCAGUGGGGAAUCUUGCGCAAU